UACGGGGGGGGCAAGCGUUGUUCGGAAUUACUGGGCGUAAAGGGCGCGUAGGCGGUUCGCUAAGUUGAAUGUGAAAACUCUGGGCUUAACCCAGAGCCUGCAUUCAAUACUGGCGGGCUAGAGUUCUGGAGGGGAUAGCGGAAUUCCUGGUGUAGCGGUGAAAUGCGUAGAUAUCAGGAGGAACACCGGUGGCCAAGGCGGCUAUCUGGACAGAGUCUGACGCUGAGGCGCGAAAGCUAGGGGAGCAAACAGG
rnacentral:rRNA from 1 species